GCCCCCAUAGUUCAAUGGACAGAACAAAGGACUCCUAAGCCUUAGAUCUCCGUUCAAUUCGGAGUGGGGGCA
rnacentral:tRNA from 1 species